CCACGGUCAAUAUGACUGCAGUAGAUGUGAAAGAUAUUAAUAAAAAUGAUGUUGAUUUAGCCAGCUCACAUACCUGUAUUAACUUUGUUUUCGGUCAAUCCACAAUAGUCGAUUGUCGAGAAAAAAAAUGAGCUUAAUGUUAAAAUUGACCUUUAACUAUAUUCUUAUCUUUUUUUUUUUCCUUGAUUCAUGACAUGUUUUUCAAUUACUACAAACCAACAUAUGGGCCAAAGAAACUAUCCUCUUGUGUGUGAAAAAUUAAGUGUGUAAUUCGUAUUUAAUUUCACUACGAAAGUUACACAUCAGGUUUUAAAACCAUAUUCAGACCUUAUCCAAAUUCUGAUAACGCAAUAAAAGGAAAGUGCUAUACACAAUAGAAAAUUAAACAACAUUUAAUAAUGUAUGACAAACCUUUAUGCUUAUUUUAUACCCCAUUCAUGGAAAGUGCCAAUGCGAAACUUAACACAAUCAGAUUUUCUCAUCCUCUAAAUGUCACGACUGCACAGUAUUUUGAACAAUAUUUUGUUUCUCAUGUGGAAAAAAGGAUGAUGUUAUAAUCAAAAGUGUGAAAUGUAACUUUAAUGCGACAAUAUUGACCAAAUGUUUUGAAUAUUUUUGUGCAAAUGUAUUUUCAGAUCAUCUCUCUCUACCAGCUGAAAUGUUUACAAAUGUAUGUUCAUUGGCGUACCUGUUGUACUAAUCUGUGCAUGUUGGAAGGGAAGGAAGAUUUCUAUAAAAAACACAUGUAGAACUUUUUUUGGCCAGUGUCUUCAUCAAAUACAGCUGCAGAAAGCUGACCUCGUUCAUGCAGCAAUUGUGUUAACGUUAGCAUGUUUGACACCUGCGUAAACCAGAAAAAACAAAUACAACUUUACCCAGGCCAAGAGAAAUCCGCUGACACGUCAACCUCUCGCAAUCAGGUUCGCCCACCUGAACGCUGAGGUCACGGGCUUUAGAGGGACCGCCCGACCUGAAGCCACACAACACAAUACAAGGAAACUUUUCCAGGAAGACAGUAGGAUGUCCUUUUCUGACCUGUAUCUCUUCACCACAAACGUGUUAUGAGCACAUCGGCUUUGGCAGAGAACAACUGAUCAACUGAUCUGUGCAUUAGACGGAGCGUCAGAAGGAUUUCAAGGAGCUGUGAAAAUGAUCUUCAUGGUUGAUCCUGUCCCAUUAGCGAUGGGAAUGUCCCUGAGUCAACCAGUCUCCGGCUUCUCCGUUGUUAAGGAUCGAUGGAUGCUUCCCGCUUUGACAUGUCCCGUGAGUUCGGCACCGUGGCAGAACAGGUCUUGAUCCCAUUUUGCUCAAGUCUUUCCUUGAUCCCAUUUUGCUCAAGUCUUUCCGUACAGGAGUUAUUGGGGAAAGCUGUGUGGAAAAAAAAAAAAA